GAUGAACGCUGACAGAAUGCUUAACACAUGCAAGUCAACUUGAAGCAGUUUCCGCUGUGGAUGGUGGCGGACGGGUGAGUAACGCGUAAAUAACUUGCCCUUUAGACUGGGACAACUGUUGGAGACGACAGCUAAUACCGGAUAUAUGAAACCUUGGCAUCAAGGGAUUAUGAAAGCUAUAUGCGCUAGAGGAGAGAUUUGCGUCCUAUUAGCUAGUUGGUGAGGUAAUGGCUCACCAAGGCGACGAUAGGUAGCCGGCCUGAGAGGGUGAACGGCCACAAGGGGACUGAGACACGGCCCUUACUCCUACGGGAGGCAGCAGUGGGGAAUAUUGGACAAUGGACCAAGAGUCUGAUCCAGCAAUUCUGUGUGUUUGAUGAAGGCCUUCGGGUUGUAAAGAACUUUAAGUAGGGAAGAAGAAAGUGACGGUACCUACAGAAUAAGCGACGGCUAAAUACGUGCCAGCCGCCGCCGUAA
rnacentral:rRNA from 1 species